rnacentral:rRNA from 1 species
GUCGAGGGGCAUCAGUUUGGUUUGCCUGCAAACCAAAGCUGGCGACCGGCGCACGGGUGAGUAACACGUAUCCAACCUGCCUCAUACUCGGGGAUAGCCUUUCGAAAGAAAGAUUAAUAUCCGAUAGCAUAUAUUUCCCGCAUGGGUUUUAUAUUAAAGAAAUUCGGUAUGAGAUGGGGAUGCGUUCCAUUAGUUUGUUGGCGGGGUAACGGCCCACCAAGACUACGAUGGAUAGGGGUUCUGAGAGGAAGGUCCCCCACAUUGGAACUGAGACACGGUCCAAACUCCUACGGGAGGCAGCAGUGAGGAAUAUUGGUCAAUGGACGCGAGUCUGAACCAGCCAAGUAGCGUGAAGGAUGACUGCCCUAUGGGUUGUAAACUUCUUUUAUAUGGGAAUAAAGUGGUCCACGUGUGGAUUUUUGUAUGUACCAUAUGAAUAAGGAUCGGCUAACUCCGUGCCAGCAGCCGCGGUAAUACGGAGGAUCCGAGCGUUAUCCGGAUUUAUUGGGUUUAAAGGGAGCGUAGGCGGAUUGUUAAGUCAGUUGUGAAAGUUUGCGGCUCAACCGUAAAAUUGCAGUUGAUACUGGCAGUCUUGAGUGCAGUAGAGGUGGGCGGAAUUCGUGGUGUAGCGGUGAAAUGCUUAGAUAUCACGAAGAACUCCGAUUGCGAAGGCAGCUCACUGGAGUGUAACU